CCCUUAGAUGUUCUGGGCAGCACGCGCGCUACAGUGGUCUUCGCAAACGGAUGCAUUCUCGAAGGAGAAUGCCAAUCUUGGAAUCUAUGCCUUGGUCGGGACAGCUGCUUGCAAUUUUUCGACUCGAACCAGGAAUUCCUUGUAAUCGUGAUUCAUCACAUCACGAUGAAUACGUCCCUGCCCUUUGUACACGCCGCCCGUCGCUCCUACCGAUCGAAGUGUUAGGUGAAUUGUUUUGAUCGAUAAGAUUUGACUAUGGUCAACUCUCGUUGUGAAAUUCUGUGAAUCUGACUGUUUAGAGGAAGGAAAAGUCGUAACA
rnacentral:rRNA from 1 species